UGCCCAGCCACUCCUAUCCCUACAUCCGCGUGGUACCGACUGGAAACUGCGAGCAACCUUAGGGAAGAUCGGGUAAUCAAUGUUUGGUCGUAAGUUGACAGGGAAGG
rnacentral:ribozyme from 1 species